ACGUGAGUGUGAAGGCAGAGAUCAGGGUGAUAUCUACCAGCCAAGGCACGCCAAAAGCUUCCCAGCAAACCAGCAGGAGCUGGGGCACAGGCAGGGAGAUGAUGCAUUCCUGUUGUUGAAGGCCCCUAGCUUGCGUUUCUUCUUUCCAGCAGCCCUAACUAAGGAGUGGAGACGAGAAAGCUUCUUUUAUUGAGCACCUGAGAACAUUCUCGAUAGGCCCCUCUCCGCCUUCAUCCUGGAAGAAACACGCAUGUCUUUCAGUGAAUGGACGGUGGCACCAGACAGAACGGAGUUGGAAUCCUGCCUUGGUGACUGCUUCUGCGCGAUGAGCAUUUGAGCCGCCCAGGUGACCUCACGGAGCUCUGUCUUGGGACGCCCAGUGUCUGCUUCAUAGCCUGACCGGGAGGGUGAGGAUCGUCUAUGUGAAUCACCGGAUAGCACUACCCCUGCAUCAGAAUGCACUUGACAUGAUACCACCAUUCCCUUUCCUUAGCUCUCUGCCUCUUCCUAUUUUGCGUUUCUCGUUAUUCCUGCGGUCUCCCCAGGUAGGAACUAAUCACAUGUUGAGGGCAUCCUGAGACUGUUGUCCUGAACUCCCCCCAUUUCAUGAAACACUCGGAGUAUGUUUCUCCCUCCUUUUUUUUUCAUGCUUCAGUUGGUUUUCUGGCAGACUCACAGCAGCCUUCAGCCAGGAGGCCGAUUCCCCGCGUUGACUUGGGCGCCAUCUCCUGGUCAUCUGAGGAAGGUGGUAUGUGUGAGGGAAACGCAUGCACCGGGCACCCUCUUGGAUGCCACCGCCUUCUCCCUUGAGGACAAACCUGGGCCCAGCCCUUCCAACAAAGCAACAUGUAGAGGCUUGGGAACCACAGAGCAGACCCUUUUCCCUGCAAAGCACCAUGGAGAAUCCUUUCCAAGAGGAAGGGACGUCUGCGGUGAGAGCAGACAAACAGGGCAAGGGUGCAUGCAGAGAGGAACUGCCUCUGACCGGCCCCACUUGUCUUGCCUUCUCUCUUAGUUUCCGUUCUAGACAUUGAAAGCAAGAGUCAGCAGAUGCCUGCCCGGCUGGCCACCUCCUCUGUAGAUAAAGCUGUAUUCACACACGACAGCCACAGCUAUCUGUCUGCAUGUGGUGUCCUGCGAUGCCGUCCCAAGUGACAUCAUCACACUCCGCGAUUGUUUUGGCAGGGGACGGGAAGCCGGGUACUGCCCCUGGAGGUAGAAGACCCUCUCCUGCUGCCAGGGUGGAGGCGGUCUUGGGAACCACAUGGCCAAGAAGAUAAAAUCCUUACCUCCGAGACCGUGCCCCCUCCGGCUAUAGAUCAGCGCAUCCACACCCUGGCGUCAGUUCUUAUCUAUUCACAUGGAAACUUUGCUUUGCUUCUCCAGCCGGGGGGCCUGUCUUCUGAGCUCCAGAACCAUCCAAACAUUAGACUGCCUACUCAGCGUCACCUCUGGAAUUUUGCAAACUCAACAUACUUAAAACCAUUUUCAUGGUUUUUUUCCCUUCCUUUCGUGCCCCCCGCCAGCCCCCUUCUCAUGCCUUAACACACUAAACCUGUGUUCCCUAUUGCACCAGGAAGUGGCACAAGCCAAGAAACCGAGUAGGCUUCCCCACGCUGUCUUACAGCCACAUGUUCUUUUUAUUAUUAUUAUUAUUAAAUAUAAUUUAUUGUCAAA